rnacentral:misc_RNA from 1 species
GAUGAAGAACGUAGCAAAAUGCGAUAAGUAAUGUGAAUUGCAGAAUUCAGUGAAUCAUCGAAUCUUUGAACGCACAUUGCGCCCGCCAGCAUCCUGGCGGGCAUGCCUGUCCGAGCGUCAUUUCAACCCUCAGGGCCCGUCCGCGGGACCUGGCGUUGGGGAUCGGCCGCGCCCAUGGAGGCCGGCCGGCCCUGAAAUACAGUGGCGGUCACGUCGCGACCUCCCCCGCGUAGUAGAACUCACCUCGCGGCGGGAAGGCGGCGCGGCCACGCCGUGAAACCCCCUACUUCUCAAGGUUGACCUCGGAUCAGGUAGGAAUACCCGCUGAACUUAAGCAUAUCAAUAAGCGGGAGGA